rnacentral:rRNA from 1 species
GAAUCUUGGGCAAUGGGGGAAACCCUGACCCAGCGACGCCGCGUGGGGGAUGAAGGCCUUCGGGUCGUAAACCCCUGUUAGGUGGGACGAACGUUUUCCGGUAAAUAGCCGGGAAACCUGACGGUACCACCAGAGAAAGCCCCGGCUAACUCCGUGCCAGCAGCCGCGGUAAUACGGAGGGGGCGAGUGUUGUUCGGAAUUACUGGGCGUAAAGGGCGCGCAGGCGGCUUGGCAAGUCGAGUGUGAAAUCCCUUGGCUUAACUGAGGAAUAGCGCUCGAAACUACCUCGCUGGAGGGCGGGAGAGGGAAGUGGAACUCUCGGUGUAGGGGUGAAAUCUGUAGAUAUCGAGAGGAACACCGGUGGCGAAGGCGGCUUCCUGGCCCGUACCUGACGCUGAGGCGCGAAAGCGUGGGGAGCAAACAGG